rnacentral:rRNA from 1 species
AAAAGGGCUUGUAGACUUCGGUCUGCUACCUCUUACCCAUGUCUUUUGAGUACCUUCGUUUCCUCGGCGGGUCCGCCCGCCGAUUGGACAACAUUCAAACCCUUUGCAGUUGCAAUCAGCGUCUGAAAAAACUUAAUAGUUACAACUUUCAACAACGGAUCUCUUGGUUCUGGCAUCGAUGAAGAACGCAGCGAAAUGCGAUAAGUAGUGUGAAUUGCAGAAUUCAGUGAAUCAUCGAAUCUUUGAACGCACAUUGCGCCCCUUGGUAUUCCAUGGGGCAUGCCUGUUCGAGCGUCAUUUGUACCUUCAAGCUCUGCUUGGUGUUGGGUGUUUUGUCUCGCCUCUGCGUGUAGACUCGCCUUAAAACAAUUGGCAGCCGGCGUAUUGAUUUCGGAGCGCAGUACAUCUCGCGCUUUGCACUCAUAACGACGACGUCCAAAAGUACAUUUUUACACUCUUGACCUCGGAUCAGGUAGGGAUACCCGCUGAACUUAAGCAUAUCAAUAAGGCGGAGGAA